AUAGGGACUAGCNUGAACGGCUAAAUGAGGAUUAAACUGUCUCUUGUAAUCAACCUAUGAAACUGAUCUUGUAGUUCAAAAGCUAUAAUACAAACACCAGACGAGAAGACCCUGUGGAGCUUUUAAACCAAAGCCAAAUUAAUGCCCCCUUGGUUUUUAGUUGGGGCAACUUCGGAGCACAAAAAAACCUCCGAAUAAACCACAAAUCGAGACAAACAAAUCAAAACUUAUACUUGACCCAAUAGUUUAACCUAAACUAUUUGACCAAUGAACCAAGUUACCCCAGGGAUAACAGCGCUAUCCUCUUUUAGAGUCCCUAUCGACAAGAGGGCUUACGACCUCGAUGUUGGAUCAGGACACCCCAAUAAUGCAGCCGUUAUUAAAGGUUCGUUUGUUCAACGAUUAAAGUCCUACGUGAU
rnacentral:rRNA from 1 species